rnacentral:lncRNA from 1 species
AGCAUCUCUCUCUCUCUCUCUCUCUCAUAAAUACAUACACACACACACACACACACACACACACACACACACACACACACACAUAUUCUUGCUUUUGCAUCCAAGUUCGUGGCCUCGCUGAUUCCUGGGUGCGGGUCUCCUUCUACGAAAGUACCUCUUCGGGGGUCUUUCAAUAUAUAUAUAUAUAUAUAUAUAUAUAUAUAUAUAUAUAUAUAUUGCCCCGCCCCCCAUGAGAAUGAACCAACGACAAACCUCCAUAAUCUACAUUUAUUUAUUUAUUUAUUUAUUUAUUUAUUUAUUUUUGGUUUUUCGAGACAGGGUUUCUCUGUGUAACUUUGGAGUCUGUCCUGGAACUCGCUCUGGAGACCAGGCUGGCCUUAAACUCACAGAGAAUCCGCCUGCCUCUGCCUCCCGAGUUCUGGGGAUUAAAGGUGUGCGCCACCAACGCCCGGCUUUGUUGUUGUUGUUUUAAAUAAACUACAGUUCUGCUUCAUACUGGCUUGUCCUGAAAUAAUAAUUAAUAGGAUAACAAUUAUUAUUAUUAUUUAACAAAGAAGUCAAAAGUCUCUCCAAGUGGCGUUUCCUAAAGGAUAAGGUAACUGCUUAGGCUGCCGCUGGCAAUCCUGUGUCUCCCAUUGCACCACCUUUGACAUACACUGGGAGGAACCACCUGGAACCCUGUAUCUUUCUCACAGUCCUGGAAAAGUAGCUUGGUAUUGGUCCUUUUACAAGAUGUCAUACUGUAGUAGAUCCUAGCUCGGACAUCACUGAUAGAGAAGAGAAAGGAAAUCUAAAAUGGGGAAAAGGGAACAAACGUUUAAAGUCAAAAGUCGACUCUUUGGGAACCUCGGCCAGCAGGGUAGAACUGUAAAUCCCGGCGAGCCCCGCGUGGCUGCUGCAGGGACUACGUUUCCCAGCGGGCGCCACGGUAGGCCUCCGGGGGCGGUCCGCAGGGGGCGGGUGCUGCCCUCUGCCGGGCGCAGCGGGAAGUGGGCGCGGAGUGACAGCCGAAGCCCGAGCGCCGGGCGCGGGGCUAGGUGACAGCGGAGGCGGCAGCUGCGGGCGGGACGCAGAGAACGGCGACGGCGCCGACGGCGGCGGGAAGGGCGGACGGGGCGGGUCUGGCUGGUGGCGCGUAGCCCGAGGAGCCCGACAGCGGGCGGCGGGUGAAGAUCGGGCGCCGGGCACCCGAACUUGGACAAGUUGCCGGAACCACAGGGCGCCGGCGGCGGACAGAUUGACCUUCAAAGCGAGGUUUGGGCUCAAGCAUCUUCCAUCUGUGGGGAAUCUGCUGCUGGAGUCUCCUGUGAGCGAAAUGGAACAGCUCAGAGUCCUGGAGGUGGCAGAAGGACACAGAGAUAAAGAUAAUUACUGGGGGCAAGAUACUUCGCCGGCUACACCGACGCAUGGUCAGGGCUCCUCUCUGCCACCUGGGAAGGGCAAAAGACUAGUGUUUAAGGACUAG